rnacentral:rRNA from 1 species
GGGGAAUAUUGGACAAUGGGGGCAACCCUGAUCCAGCAAUGCCAUGUGUGUGAAGAAGGCCCUAGGGUUGUAAAGCACUUUAGUUGGGGAGGAAAGCCUCAAGGUUAAUAGCCUUGGGGGAGGACGUUACCCAAAGAAUAAGCACCGGCUAACUCCGUGCCAGCAGCCGCGGUAAUACGGGGGGUGCAAGCGUUAAUCGGAAUUACUGGGCGUAAAGGGUCUGUAGGUGGUUUGUUAAGUCAGAUGUGAAAGCCCAGGGCUCAACCUUGGAACUGCAUUUGAUACUGGCAAACUAGAGUACGGUAGAGGAAUGGGGAAUUUCUGGUGUAGCGGUGAAAUGCGUAGAGAUCAGAAGGAACACCAAUGGCGAAGGCAACAUUCUGGACCGAUACUGACACUGAGGGACGAAAGCGUGGGGAUCAAACAGGAUUAGAUACCCUGGUAGUCCACGCUGUAAACGAUGAGUACUAGCUGUUGGAGUCGGUGUAAAGGCUCUAGUGGCGCAGCUAACGCGAUAAGUACUCCGCCUGGGGACUACGGCCGCAAGGCUAAAACUCAAAGGAAUUGACGGGGACCCGCACAAGCGGUGGAGCAUGUGGUUUAAUUCGAUGCAACGCGAAGAACCUUACCUGGUCUUGACAUCCUGCGAACUUUCUAGAGAUAGAUUGGUGCCUUCGGGAACGCAGUGACAGGUGCUGCACGGCUGUCGUCAGCUCGUGUUGUGAAAUGUUGGGUUAAGUCCCGCAACGAGCGCAACCCCUAUUGAUAGUUACCAUCAUUAAGUUGGGUACUCUAUUAAGACUGCCGCUGACAAGGCGGAGGAAGGUGGGGACGACGUCAAGUCAUCAUGGCCCUUACGACCAGGGCUACACACGUGCUACAAUGGGUAUUACAGAGGGCUGCGAAGGUGCGAGCUGGAGCGAAACUCAAAAAGGUACUCUUAGUCCGGAUUGCAGUCUGCAACUCGACUGCAUGAAGUCGGAAUCGCUAGUAAUCGCAGGUCAGAAUACUGC